rnacentral:sRNA from 1 species
AUUUGGUUCUAUACCAACAGCAUCUUUGGAAAAGCUGGGAUCCCUCCGGCAAAGAUCCCAUACGUCACCUUGAGUACAGGGGGCAUCGAGACUUUGGCUGCCGUCUUCUCUGUGGCAUCCCAUUCAUCUUGACUGGUGAGUUCUUCCAGCAAUCUCAGCGGCCGGCUGCCUUCAUCAUUGCAGGCACCGUCAACUGGCUCUCCAACUUUGCUGUUGGGAUCCUCUUCCCAUUCAUUCAGAAAAGUCUGGACACCUACUGUUUCCUAGUCUUUGCUACAAUUUGUAUCACAGGCGCUAUCUACCUAUAUUUUGUGCUGCCUGAGACCAAAAACAGAACCUAUGCAGAAAUCAGCCAGGCAUUUUCCAAAAGGAGCAAAGCAUACCCACCAGAAGAGAAAAUCGACUCGGCUGUCACUGAUGCAGCUCAAAGGAACUAAGACAAAGAUCAUGGAGACCAUCGGGUGAGUCUCAAGACUUCCCCCAGCUCUGCUUGGCUGGUCUCCUGCUGGUAUUUUCUGUCUGUAGAGAGGAACAAGAACUUCAAUUUUAUCUUGCUUACCUGCACUUAUGAAAUGUCAAACUGA